rnacentral:misc_RNA from 1 species
UCCGGCUUAUCACCGGCAGUCUGCUCAGGGUUCCAAACUAAAUGUUGGCAACUAAACACGAGGGUUGCGCUCGUUGCGGGACUUAACCCAACACCUUACGGCACGAGCUGACGACAGCCAUACACCACCUGUGUCCGCGUUCCCGAAGGCACCCCUCUCUUUCAAGAGGAUUCGCGGCAUGUCAAGCCCUGGUAAGGUUCUACGCUUUGCAUCGAAUUAAACCACAUGCUCCACCGCUUGUGCGGGCCCCCGUCAAUUCCUUUGAGUUUCAAUCUUGCGACCGUACUCCCCAGGUGGAUUACUUAUCACUUUCGCUUAGACACUGACCGUAUAUCGCCAAUAUCGAGUAAUCAACGUUUAGGGCAUGGACUAC